rnacentral:lncRNA from 1 species
AAAUGAGGAAAAUACCUAAUUAAAAAAAAAAAGCAUAACAAAGAUUUGCCUGCUGUCAUUUUACUCAAAUUCUUCCCUACUCUUGUUACAGUAGAGGAGCAGGAGACUGCAGGCUCACCCAACCUUCUCACGGGUGCCUUGAGCAGGAGUACAGUGUCUCUCCCCACACACAUUAGGGCCAUGCAGCUAUGAUGCAUGGCAACUAGAAAAGCUCAAAGAUCACAGAGCCCGAAACCCCUUUCCAGAAACCAGCUCCAGAGCACAGGUACCUGCAGAGGUGUUAGAUCCCUUGGCUGGAGUUACAGGUGCUUGUGAGCCUCCUAGCAUAUGUAGGUGGUGAAACUCAGGACCUCUACUUAAGAGCUAAGCCACCUGUCCAUCUAAUCUUUUUGAAAUGUGUUAGCUAUUUAAAAUUCUUCCUACUUUUGGAUCUUCUCAGAUGAGCAAAGAUGGCUGGAUUACAUCAUUGAUGUUCACAGACUGUCCCCAGAGCAGCACCUAAUAGGAUGGAUUACCAGACCCUUCCCAAGUCUCAAAAAGGGUCCUAUGUGAAAUCAAAGACACUGCCAUAGGAAAGACAGUGUGGUAGGAACAUGUGUUGCAUAUAUACCUAAAUCCAAAAUGUACCAAGGUGAAUGACUAGCUAGCUGGUACAUUCAGGUGAGAAUUUUCCUUAACAGCCACUUUCCAACUUUGUGGUGGUCACUAUAUUUUGUCAAAAACAAACAAACAAACAAACAAAAAAACCUGUUCAUUAAACUAAUUCUGCUCUUUUUGUUAUCAAAACUGAGUUGAGAGCCGGAGAGAUGGCUUAGCGGGUAAAAGUACUUGCCACUAGGCCCGAUGACCUGAGUUCAAUCUCCAGGGUGCACAGGUUGAAGGAGAGAUCUGUCUCCUGCAGGUUGCCCUCUGGCUUUCACAGAUGUGCUGUGGUGUGCGUGCACACACCCAUACAAGUCAGUAGAUAAAGUCAAAGGCUAAAACUGAGUUUAAAUCUCUUUGGUUAGAUAAACAGAAUGAAGUUUUAAGUCUUGUCAGAAGAAAAGGUGGCUAUGUGCUGUCUUAAGGGUAAUAUGAAGCCACAUCUGACAGAGAAUGCCUUUGUGGAUUUAUUCAUUACAAUAAUGUUGAUGACAUUAACUGGAAUAUACUCAGAGAGUUCCUGUGUUCACUUCAGGUAAGCUAACCCUUGGAUGACAACUUUGGUGUCCUCAUCAGACUCAUCCCUCAUGGAAACCUAAUAUUAGGGGUCUGUACUAGAGAGUGUAGGUAUUUUAGAAAGUUCCAUUAGGACCUGUAGCUGCAGCUUCUUUCAGACAUCUUUUGCUUAAGAUAACAUUAAGAGAACACAGUGGGCUUGGGUCCAGUUUAUUACCUUCCUAGUUAAGAAGGAGGUCUUAUGGAGAAUACAGAUAAAGUCCUGGGAGUUGAAUGGAAAAAAACUGGGCUCAACUCAAGGUAAAAUUGAUUGUCAGCUUUAGAUUAAUAAAGGUUAUAUAACAGGGAACCCUACCAAAAGGCUCCUCUUUUUUUAAAAAUUUUUUAUUAGAUAUUUUCUUCAUUUACAUUUCAAAUGCUAUCCCAAAAGUCCCCUAUACCCUCCAAAAGGCGCCUCUUUUAAAGGAAUAAUUCACUUCAUGAGCAGUUAGCUAAUCCUUUAGUUUCAUUUAGUGUUUCCAUAUUUACAUUUAGAUUUUCAUUAAUGUGCUGCUAUUGAACAUCUUUCAUGAUUUAAAAGCUGUAAAAUAUUUUAAUCUGUGAUGCAUUUGUUUACAAAGCCAACCACUUAAUUCUAUAUAAUAUGUAGCACUUGAAACCAUCUGUUAGGAACAUUUGAAGACUUUGGUGCACAUUGUGAAGAUGAAUACAGCAAACGAGAAACAAAACAUGAAAUAUUCAGGCCGUGUUUGUGAUGGAGGGAAAAAGCAUGUACUUUAAGUUUGAAAACAUUGCAGUCUAAAAUUUGACAAAGAAGCUUUCCAGAGUGAAACACUUUUCUAAUUCCAGGCAAAUGUCAAACUGACAUUUUAGAAGCCGGGGAGAUGACUUUGUAGAUAAAUGUUCUUGAUGCACAACAUGAAGAACUGAGUUCAAAUCCUCAGUGCUGAUGUAAGUAUGGCCAUGCACAGACAUGUGCUGUGGAAAGUGGAGACCAAAGGACCCAGUGUCCUUCUCUGGCCUCUUGCACACACAUGGGAGAGGCCCAUUUUAACUGAUUUGAAGUAAAAAUAUUGGCAUAAUAUGAACUAGAAUUAUGCUUCUGAGAGUUUGUGUUUCAGAAUAGUUAACUGUCCCAUGGGGCUCUCUUGAGAAGUUGCUGCUGUGAAGCCAAGAGAGAGGCUGUGGUGAGCGAGGGGUGUCAUCCUGGGAGGCAAAGCACCAUGUGUCCUUUGUGGUCUCGCAAAUGCUGAUCUGGGCAAAACACUCAUAUACAUAAAACAAGAUAAUCUAUAAAACAUGGGAGGAAUCCAGGAAGGGGCUGCAGUUUCUGCCACACAAGCCGUCAGCACUGCCUUCCUGGAAUCCUCUUUACAUGUUUUAGAUUAUCUUGGUUUAUGUAUAUGAGUGUUUUGCCUACAUUCAUGUAUAUGUACCAAAUGCAUGCAAUAAGAAGGCCAACAGAAGGCAAAGGAUCUGGAACUGGGGUUAUAUGCAUGACUGUGAGCCAGCAUAUAGGUGCUGGGAACAGAUCAGGUCCUCUGUAAGAGCAACAAGCACUCUUAACCCCUGAGUCAUCUCUGAAGUGCUUUUAAUCCUCUAUUCUAGUGCCCAAACAAGACCACCUUAUAAUUAAACACAGUUGGGUUUUUUUGGUGUUUUGUUUUGUUUACAGUGUCUACUACCUACUAGUCUCACAGUAGCACUGUGACCACUCAUAGGUGUUACACAGAGCACAUUUUCUUGUCAAAAACUCUAGCAAGACCACAGUAGUUUACAAUAUGUUAACCUGCUGCUGGCUGUUCCAGACCUAUCAUUGUGCUAGGAUAUAAUUCAAAUUAUCUUACCCUUCCCUUCAAUUUUUUUAAUCAGUAUUAUCAAAGAUCCUAUAAGUGCUUAUUACUUCCUACCCAAGAUAAUGUGCAGUUCUCCCUUCUCUUGAUUCCCCUAGAUUGAUCAUUUUGUCAUUGAAUCAACCUCACCCUAAGGCCUUCCUUUUUGUACAGGUGCGUGAUACGUUGAGUUGAAUCAAAGUCAUCCAAGUCUUCACUCUGGUUUUAUGUUUACAUUUCCUGGUGACUGAAUGAGCGAGCUUCCCUAUCUGCAAGUCUGAACGGCAAGUUUUUAUAUUGGUUGUUUUUACCAACUUUUUGUAUUUCCACACACGUGUUCCCAUUAAUUUAUGUCAUCGUUUUGAACUAACAACAUUUUGAGUUUCAAGCCUUUGGCUCCCUGGAACUAACAUUUAGAAUCCCAGACUUAGUUCAUCUCCAGCAAAGUCAAAUUGUAUAUGCUUAUUUGGGUUUAAUACGAUUCUUUUGAAACUGGUGAGGAAUUCUUGGCCAGUGCAGGGGAGUUGAGUUUAGUCUUUGGAUUUCUAACAUGAACUCCUAGCGUGGGUCCAUAUUUAAAGACUUGCUGGAUGAAUGACAGUUAUUAAGAUUCCUAUGGUUGCUAUGAGUCUGUUUUAAAAUAGUUUUGUUAUAAUGGAACACCCUCUGCAAUGAGUAAAAAUAAGAGGGAGUGUGGAUUCACACAAGAAGGCAAAUGAUUGGUGUGAAAACAUUGCCAGGGUGAGCUGUGAACAGGAAGAAAUACUCAAUUCAGAGUCCUGUCCCAGGGUGCCAGGCUUCGAUGGGCAUGUGGCCCAUGUUUUGAUGACUGGCCCACAGCAGAGGCUUGUAUGUCUGCAUCCUGCUCCCUGACAUCCUGAACAGGAGACUCCUGCUCACCUUUGCCACCAUGCUCAAUGACCGCAAGUUGCAUCCCUGAUACUUGGUAAAUGCAUGUUUGAGAAGAGAGAGGAUGGAAGGGUAAAGUGUCUUGUUCUUUGGAACACAGUAAAGGAAGGUGGAUUUUU